rnacentral:tRNA from 1 species
GAUCGCGUGGUCCAGCGGCUAAGACACCUGCAUGACACGCAGGAAAUCGAAGGUUCGAUUCCUUCCGCGAUCAC